UACGUAGGGUGCGAGCGUUAAUCGGAAUUACUGGGCGUAAAGCGUGCGCGGGCGGUUUUGUAAGCCAGAUGUGAAAUCCCCGGGCUUAACCUGGGAAUGGCAUUUGGGACUGCAAGGCUUGAGUGCGGCAGAGGAGACUGGAAUUCCUGGUGUAGCGGUGAAAUGCGCAGAUAUCAGGAGGAACACCGAUUGCGAAGGCAGCUCGCUGGAACGUUACUGACGCUGAGACGCGAAAGCGUGGGGAGCAAACAGG
rnacentral:rRNA from 1 species